AUGAGCCUACGGGGGGCAGCAGUGGGGAAUAUUGCACAAUGGGGGAAACCCUGAUGCAGCGACGCCGCGUGAGUGAAGAAGUAUUUCGGUAUGUAAAGCUCUAUCAGCAGGGAAGAAAAUGACGGUACCUGACUAAGAAGCCCCGGCUAACUACGUGCCAGCAGCCGCGGUAAUACGUAGGGGGCAAGCGUUAUCCGGAUUUACUGGGUGUAAAGGGCGCGUAGGUGGCAGGGCAAGUGAGAUGUGAAAGCCAGGGGCUCAACCCCGGUACUGCAUUUGAAACUG
rnacentral:rRNA from 1 species